rnacentral:lncRNA from 10 species
UGCAGGGGAGGGAUCUUUCAGUCUGUGCCCUAUGAAGAGACAAUUUCAUCUUUUUUAGCACACCUGGGCAUCUGAGGGACAUUCAGCACCAGCUGUGUCAUUCUCAAAUAGAAAAGUAGUAGGACAUUUAAUAAAGGCAACAAUUAAUAUUGAAGAAGUGGAAUCUUUUGGAAACACUCCCUGGAGUGCUCCUUGACAGAGACCGAGAGUAACUACUGUGCACAGCUGGCACAGAUCCAGGCUCAGAUCGGGGCCCUGGAGGAGCAGCUGCACCAGGUCAGAACCGAGACCGAGGGCCAGAAGCUCGAGUAUGAGCAGCUCCUUGACAUCAAGGUCCACCUGGAAAAAGAAAUUGAGACCUACUGCCUCCUGAUAGAUGGAGAAGAUGGCUCCUGUUCUAAAUCAAAAGGCUAUGGAGGCCCAGGAAAUCAAACAAAAGAUUCAUCUAAAACCACCAUUGUCAAAACAGUUGUUGAAGAGAUAGAUCCUCGUGGCAAAGUUCUCUCAUCCAGAGUUCACACUGUGGAAGAGAAAUCCACCAAAGUCAACAACAAGAAUGAACAGAGGGUGUCUUCCUGAACUCCAGCCUCUGAGACAGAAUGGCCCCCAAAUUAAAAUACCAAAAUGAAGCUAGUUUCCUAAAUAAGGGUCCCCUUAUUUUUCUGCUUUUCUUCCAAUGAAUUAAGACAAGUUAUUUUUAGAAUAGUACCAUUUCUUUGGCUUUUUCUCUAUGGUGGUGUUUCAAUAAAAGUUCUUCCUGUUGCAAGUCA